AGUACAGGAGGCUGCUGGACGGAGAGGGCGGUGGCGGUGGUAGGAGCAGCAGCAGCUUCAGCACCAGCAGCAGCUUUAGUGCCAGUGGCAGCGGCAGUGGCAGCGGCAGUGGCAGCGGCGGUGGCUCAUCCACCAGCAGCAAAACAACCAAAGUCAUCAAGAUCGUAGAGGAGGUGGUGGAUGGGCAGGUGGUGAGCUCCUCCACUGAGACCGUCACUGCGGAAUGAGCUCCAGCAGGGGAGGCCCUCACAGAAAUAACACACAAAUAAAAGUCUGCUGAAGUGCUUCAAAAUA